rnacentral:misc_RNA from 1 species
GGAAGGAUCAUUACUGGUUAGACCGCAACGCACUUAGAGAUAGGACCCUUUAGGGGGCCUUAUCGAUAAGGGUCAAGCCAGCUUGAAGGUAUACCUUUUAGGGAAGGACCGUCAAGGCCUUAACAAGCCUUAAGCACGAGACUGCCCAGAGAGGUACCUUUAAACCGGGUAGGUUGGACUUGUCCGGCCUAUCCAGUUCCCAUGGCUUAGUUUAGGCAAAAUUGACCCCUACUUGCUAACUCCCCUUAUCUGACCCUUUCAGGGAUGGAUAGUGGAGGACCCAAAGGACAAGUCAAAGGAGCCCAAACAAGGCUUAGGAGCGAACUUAGGUAACCUAUUCACAACCCACUACGAUGGAUGUCUAGGUUCCCACCUCGAUGAAGAGCGCAGCGAAUUGCGAUAUGUAGUGUGAUUUGCAGAUUGUGUGAUACAUCGAGUACUUGAACGCAUUGCGCCUUAGCUCGCGAGGGCUAAGGCACGUUUGGAUGAGGGUCAGUAUCUAACGCCUUCUCGAUAGACUUAGGUCUAUUGUCGGGGCAACUUGUCGGUUCGUUGGGCGCCUCCUAUCAACGAAUUGAUUAAAUUCAUGGGAAGCCGAUAGGGUCAAACCUAUCAGUGCCCUACUACCUAUCUCGGCGCCUCUACGUGACUAACUUAGAGGUAAAGACCUAGGCAAGUAGGUUCCCUUUAAAGCUUUCGAGCUUUACCCAAGGCGAUAGCAGCUUGGGACUUGACCUUACUUUGACCUCAUCUCAAGCGUGACCACGCCCUAAACUUAAGCAUAUUAAUCAGGGCAGGAAAGGAAACCAAACGGGACUCCCUUAGUAACUGCGAGUGAAGAGGGACCAGCCCAGGCUGAAUCCAAUACCCCAGGGUUGCGGAGUUGUGGCCUUUGACUUAGGUCUUCAGUUAGGCUAGGCCGGAGAAGUUCUCUGAAAAGGGACGCCAUAGAGGGUUAAAGCCCCGUAUCUUGGUCAGGCUUGGCGAAUCUCCUGAGUUUAGAGUCAGGCUGUUUGAGAGUACAGCCUAAAGUGGGAGGUACGCUCCUCCUAAGGCUAAGUACAGGGUGGGAAUCCGAUAGCAUACAAGUACCGCGAGGGAAAGAUGCAAAGCACUCUGAAGAGAGAGUCAAAGAGUACCUGAAAUCGUAUUGGGGGAAGCGUCUAAGGGAGUCACUAUGCAGGUUGCCUUUCACCGGGCCGGUUUGGGUGCUGUGAGGUCUAGAGGUGCUUACGGGUAUCCAGGGUCUUGCAGAUGUCCUAGGCAGGCACGGGCACUUAGGUAGCUUGCUCUCGGUUUGGGUUGCAACUUGGGGAAAUAGGCUUGUGGUAAGGUACCUGGCUUCCAGGGAUGUCCACGGGUUAGUACCUUCGUUUCGACCAAGGUCUCAGGGGAGUAUAGCUAGGGCCGCAAGGCAGGGUCAAUAGGGUGUCAUUGGGUUGUUCGGCUUGGUUACAGCUUGCUGUGGCUGAGUUGGAUGGCUCUCUUAGCCUUAUGACUACACCUAGCUUCAAGAAACCGGGUCACGACGACCUUAGCCGUCCCGUCUUGAAACACGGACCAAGGAGUCUAACAUAUGCGCGAGUCUAAGGGUUAUAAACCUGAUAGGCGUAAUGAAAGUAAUUUGGGUGAUGCUGAGUCCACGGACGAUGCUGCAACCCGCACCGACCUUGACCCACGAGUGAUAGGUUUGAGUGGGAGCGUAUCUGUUAGGACCCGAAAGGUAGCGAACUAUGCCCGCAUAGAGUGAAGCCAGAAGAAAUUCUGGUGGAGGUUCGUAGCGGUACUGACGUGCAAAUCGUUCGUCAAAUGUGGGUAUAGCGGCGAAAGACUAAUCGAGCUGCCUAGUAGCUGGUUCCGCC